rnacentral:rRNA from 1 species
CACGCUGUAAACGGUGGAUGCUGGAUGUGGGGCUUGUUUCCACGAGUCCCGUGUCGGAGCUAACGCGUUAAGCAUCCCGCCUGGGGAGUACGGCCGCAAGGUUAAAACUCAAAGAAAUUGACGGGGGCCCGCACAAGCGGCGGAGCAUGCGGUUUAAUUCGAUGCAACGCGAAGAACCUUACCUGGGUUUGACAUGUGGACGAUGGCUGCAGAGAUGUGGCUUCCCUUCGGGGCGUCUUCACAGGUGG